CGGUUUCAAAGGGGCACCUUCGGGGACGAGAUCGCGAUAAAGACUGCCAGUCUCGAUUCGCGAGUAAAUAAUUAAUGCCGUUUAAGAGGGCCCGGCGCGAGCAAGCUCGAACACGAACUUAUCACUUUACCGACCGAGGAAUCCGUUAAUCGACUUUUCGCCAACGCUUACCGACCCAUAACCUAUUAAUCCUUUUUUAGCCUUGGACGUGCUAGAGGGGACAUUUUUUUAGCUCGAACGCAUCGAGGAAGCAGCGAAAGUAAUUUCGAAAGGCCCAAGGUUAGGAACAAUCACCGGGUCCGUGGAAGAAGUGUAAUCCAUCAUUAUGCAACGACAUAGUAAUCGACCGUGCCGACGAUACUCGUCAAGAACUGUACUCGAACCGUGGAGAUUUUUCGAGAGAACCAAAAGGAACGUCUCGACCCUAGGCGGGAUCGUUUCCGGAGUAGUUCACCUCGUAAGAAAACCACGGGCACGUUGAUGGGUCGAACGCGAAAGAAAAUUGAUGAAGAUGCAACAAGCGGGAUGAUUAAUUGCUGGACGAAUUUUAAAAAAUCGGUGAACACUUCCACGGGCAAUGUGGACCGAACUAAUGAUAAAGGAAAUUACGAACCGAGAUAAAAACUAAUUUCUUUCUAUAAGAAUACCGAACAAGCUAUUUCGGUAACCGAACGAUGAUUAAAACGAGAUCGAUAAUUCUGUCGCGACGUUUCUAAAUUAAUAGCAACGUAUCGACAGAAUCAAAGCCUCUACGGUGCAAUUAAUAAAGGACCAAGACCACCUGGUAUAACAACCGAAGUUGCACGCGCCAACCCCUUUGAGAUACGAACUUCCCCAUUAUAGCUCCAUCGGGAGCCAUUAGAACUUUGCUUACAUAAUAAAUGACAGUACACGGUAAUAUAGCCAAACCUGAACAUACGGUGUGCAUGCUUGCUUUGGACAAACUUGAAUGCUUUAUC